rnacentral:rRNA from 1 species
GUUGAACGCUGGCGGCAUGCUUUACACAUGCAAGUCGAACGGUAACAGGUUAAGCUGACGAGUGGCGAACGGGUGAGUAAUGCAUCGGAACGUGCCCGAUCGUGGGGGAUAACGCAGCGAAAGCUGCGCUAAUACCGCAUACGAUCUGAGGAUGAAAGCGGGGGACCGUAAGGCCUCGCGCGAUCGGAGCGGCCGAUGUCAGAUUAGGUAGUUGGUGGGGUAAAGGCUCACCGAGCCGACGAUCUGUAGCUGGUCUGAGAGGACGACCAGCCACACUGGGACUGAGACACAGCCCAGACUCCUACGGGAGGCAGCAGUGGGGAAUUUUGGACAAUGGGCGCAAGCCUGAUCCAGCAAUGCCGCGUGCAGGAAGAAGGCCUUCGGGUUGUAAACUGCUUUUGUACGGAGCGAAAAGGCUCUCUCUAAUACAGGGGGCUCAUGACGGUACCGUAAGAAUAAGCACCGGCUAACUACGUACCAGCCGCCGCCGUAA